CAGCCGCCGCGGUAAUACCGGCGGCCCGAGUGGCGGUCACUAUUAUUUGGCUUAAAGCGUCCGUAGCCGGGUUGGGAAGUCCUCCGGGAAAUCUGGCCGCUUAAAGGUCAGAAUGCCGGAGGAUACUCCCAGCCUAGGGAGCGGGAGAGGCCGAGGGUAUUCCCGGAGUAGGGGUGAAAUCCUAUAAUCCCGGGAGGACCACCUGGGGCGCAGGCGCUCGGCUGGAACGCGUCCGACGGGGAGGGACGAAGGCCAGGGGAGCAAACCGGAUUAGAUACCCGGGUAGUCCUGGCUGUAAACGAUGCGGACUUUGUGUCGGACAAGCUAUGAGCUUGUCCGGUGCCGGAGGGAAACCGUUAAGUCCGCCGCCUGGGGAGUACGGCCGCAAGGCUGAAACUUAAAGGAAUUGGCGGG
rnacentral:rRNA from 1 species